GAUGAACGCUAGCGGGAGGCCUAACACAUGCAAGCCGAGCGGUAUUGUUUCUUCGGAAAUGAGAGAGCGGCGUACGGGUGCGUAACACGUGUGCAACCUGCCUUUAUCUGGGGGAUAGCCUUUCGAAAGGAAGAUUAAUACUCCAUAAUAUGUUGAACGGCAUCGUUUAAUAUUGAAAGCUCCGGCGGAUAGAGAUGGGCACGCGCAAGAUUAGUUAGUUGGUGAGGUAACGGCUCACCAAGGCGAUGAUCUUUAGGGGGCCUGAGAGGGUGAUCCCCCACACUGGUACUGAGACACGGACCAGACUCCUACGGGAGGCAGCAGUGAGGAAUAUUGGACAAUGGGUGCAAGCCUGAUCCAGCCAUCCCGCGUGAAGGACGACUGCCCUAUGGGUUGUAAACUUCUUUUGUAUAGGGAUAAACCUACCCUCGUGAGGGUAGCUGAAGGUACUAUACGAAUAAGCACCGGCUAACUCCGUGCCAGCAGCCGCCGUAAGAC
rnacentral:rRNA from 1 species